UGCUUUUCCCAUUUCCUUCUUUUUCUUCUUUCUCCUUUUUCCGUUUUCUCCCUCCUCCCCUCCCUUUUUCUUUCCUCUUUUUCUUCCUUUCCUCCCCUUUAUUCCUUCCUUCCCUCUUUCCUGUGCUUUCCUCUUUUCCAUGUUUUGUCUCUCUUUCCUGCUCCCUUCGUUUUUUUUUCCACCCCUUCUGCCCUCCUUUUUCUCCCUUUCUCUCCUCUUUGCCUAUUUAUCCCCUCUUUUUAAACUUCUUCCCCACUUCCCUCUCUUUCUCUUCUAUUUCCUCCCUUUCUGUUUCUCCUCUUCCCUUUUUCCCAUCCACCCCUAUCUCACACCACAGCAGGAGCACUGGGAUAUUCAGGAGAAAAAAAAAAAAACAGGAGAGGGGGAAAUCCCUCGCAACACGCAGACGAGCACACGAGCUGCACCUCACAGGCAAAGGCCUCUCUCUCCUCUAAGCUGUCUGAAACAAAACCAGGAGCGCCAUAGAGGACGGGCGCACCGGAGUUUUGCCGCUGCACUGACUUGCCCACCUCUGUCCCCCCGCCGUGCCGCGGCACCCCGGACACACACCAGCUAACCCGCACACCCGUCCCACAUCCCAGCGCCUGGCUGGGGCUGGAAGGCGUUCCUCAUCGGCCUGCUGGCUUCCUCCUCCGGCUGCCGGCUACUCCCUGUCUCCCUUUUGUUUCCCAGUACUUUUAUCCCCAGUAAUGGCUAGUUCAGACUUUCACAAGAUGGAGCAGGUUUUGAAGAGAGAAAAAGGUUUUGAAAUGCCGAGAGCUCGUACUGAGUUGCCUCCCUUCCUUCCCCCCAGAAUCUUAGUGUCUCCCCCAGUUUCUCCUCCCUGUGAACACUCCACCCCCUGGCUCACACAACAGUUCCAUUAAGCACAACCAG